rnacentral:rRNA from 1 species
CCUACGGGUGGCAGCAGUGAGGAAUAUUGGUCAAUGGGCGCAAGUCUGAACCAGCCAUGCCGCGUGAAGGAAGACGGCCCUAUGGGUUGUAAACUGCUUUUGUAGGAGGAUAAAAGCCGGGACGUGUCCCUGUCUGAAUGUAUCGUAAGAAUAAGCAUCGGCUAACUCCGUGCCAGCAGCCGCGGUAAUACGGAGGAUGCAAGCGUUAUCCGGAUUUAUUGGGUUUAAAGGGUGCGUAGGCGGUCCGAUAAGUUCGAGGUGAAAGCCCGAGGCUCAACUUCGGAAUUGCCUCGGAUACUGUGCGGCUAGAGAGCAGUAGCGGUAGGCGGAAUGUAUGGUGUAGCGGUGAAAUGCUUAGAGAUCAUACAGAACACCGAUUGCGAAGGCAGCCUACCAAGCUACUUCUGACGUUGAGGCACGAAAGUGUGGGGAGCAAACAGGAUUAGAUACCCCUGUAGUC